rnacentral:rRNA from 1 species
UACGUAUGGGGCAAGCGUUAUUCGGAUUUAUUGGGCGUAAAGCGCAUGUAGGCGGUCUGCUAAGUCGGAUGUGAAAUUUUCAGGCUUAACCUGGAACUUGCACCCGAAACUGGCGGACUUGAGUUCAGAAGAGGAGAAUGGAAUUCCAGGUGUAGGAGUGAAAUCUGUAGAUAUCUGGAAGAACACCAGUGGCGAAGGCGAUUCUCUGGUCUGAUACUGACGCUUAGAUGCGAAAGCCAGGGGAG